rnacentral:lncRNA from 1 species
GAAAGUGAGAGGUGGAGGCGGGUCUGUGCACAGAAAUGAAACCUAAAGUGGCUGUAGGGGCAGGAAAUGAAAGUGCGCCAGUGCAGCCUGUUCAGACAAACAGCAGACGGACAAACGCCUGGAAACACAGCGAGGACACACAGACUCUGGGCAGCCACAUGAGGACCAAGAUGAACAAGCUGCUGUUAGUUCCUGUGGUGCUGGGAAUCAUAUCAGCCCUGGGGGACACUACAACAACUCCUCCCACAACUACUACCACCUCUGAAUGGACAACAGUGUCACUCCUGUGUGUCUUCUUCUUCAUACCGACUGUAAACAGGCUGUGGAAAUGUCAGGUCAUUCUGGGCUAAAUCUAAAUGGAAAGAUGUUCACUUUGUCUUUUAACGGAGGAGGAAUAUCCUUCUACCCGUCCCAUUACUCACCAAAAAAGCAACACCCCACCUCCACCCCCUACUGGACCACCACCAACCCCUACACGACCGCCUCACCGUAUACUCGAGGUGUGUCCGUGUGUGUGUGUUACAUCACCGACUGGUCUGUGCAAAGUUUCUCAUUCUUCACACUCAGUCCAUCCACAACUCCUCUCAGCCUGGGAGCCAGUUCCAGCAAUUCCUAUUGGCUGUCCUAUGGCAAAUACGGUUCUAUGACACAGUCUUUCCGCCCGAACAUAUGGUUCUUUACAGACCUUGGGUUGGACAUCUGGACCAGGGUCUGCGUCACUGUGGACUCCAUGAAGAACACGACCCAGAUGUUUGUGGGCCCAUACAUGAGCAUCAAGAAGCUGCUGCCCGGGAAGUAUGUGUGGUCAGGUGAGCCCAGUGAUUCAAUUUUCAGGUUUCGAUGGUCAGCUGACCAACAUCCAGGUGUGGGAUUAUCCUCUUCCCUACAAUGAAGUCUACAGCUACAUGGCCAGUGCUUAUACGCCGUACACGGGCUCAGUCCUCACGUGGUCCUCCAUCAGCUACUUUGCCAGAGGUAACGUGCUACUGGAUGACGUCUAUAGGUGGCAGGAAAAACAGCCAAUCAGCAGACAGGGGCAAAGACGCCGACUGAAGAACAAGAAGAAGCACAUGGAGGAAAAUAUAGAGAGCCAGAGACAGCAGCUUUAAUGAAACAUGCAGAGACAUGUAGGAAAAGCUGUGUCCUCUUCACAAUCAGCUUGAGAAACCAUCACCAAUCA